rnacentral:rRNA from 1 species
CCGCGUGAGUGAUGAAGGUUUUCGGAUCGUAAAGCUCUGUUGUUAGGGAAGAACAAGUACCGUUCGAAUAGGGCGGUACCUUGACGGUACCUAACCAGAAAGCCACGGCUAACUACGUGCCAGCAGCCGCGGUAAUACGUAGGUGGCAAGCGUUGUCCGGAAUUAUUGGGCGUAAAGGGCUCGCAGGCGGUUUCUUAAGUCUGAUGUGAAAGCCCCCGGCUCAACCGGGGAGGGUCAUUGGAAACUGGGGAACUUGAGUGCAGAAGAGGAGAGUGGAAUUCCACGUGUAGCGGUGAAAUGCGUAGAGAUGUGGAGGAACACCAGUGGCGAAGGCGACUCUCUGGUCUGUAACUGACGCUGAGGAGCGAAAGCGUGGGGAGCGAACAGGAUUAGAUACCCUGGUAGUCCACGCCGUAAACGAUGAGUGCUAAGUGUUAGGGGGUUUCCGCCCCUUAGUGCUGCAGCUAACGCAUUAAGCACUCCGCCUGGGGAGUACGGUCGCAAGACUGAAACUCAAAGGAAUUGACGGGGGCCCGCACAAGCGGUGGAGCAUGUGGUUUAAUUCGAAGCAACGCGAAGAACCUUACCAGGUCUUGACAUCCUCUGACAAUCCUAGAGAUAGGACGUCCCCUUCGGGGGCAGAGUGACAGGUGGUGCAUGGUUGUCGUCAGCUCGUGUCGUGAGAUGUUGGGUUAAGUCCCGCAACGAGCGCAACCCUUGAUCUUAGUUGCCAGCAUUCAGUUGGGCACUCUAAGGUGACUGCCGGUGACAAACCGGAGGAAGGUGGGGAUGACGUCAAAUCAUCAUGCCCCUUAUGACCUGGGCUACACACGUGCUACAAUGGACAGAACAAAGGGCAGCGAAACCGCGAGGUUAAGCCAAUCCCACAAAUCUGUUCUCAGUUCGGAUC